AUACUUACGUGGCAGGGGUAAUUCCAUGAUCCGGAAGGUGGUUUCCCCAGGGUGAGACUUGUCCUUUGCACUCUAGAUGGGCUGACCACUGUGAUUUCCCCAAAUGAGGGAAACUCGACUGCAUCAUUUGUGGUAGUGGGGGACAGCAUUCAUACUCUCCUGUG